UCGUGCGAGCGCGCGCCCCGAUCACCGGUAAAGGACGAUGCGGCUGUGUGCGCGCACACCCUCCCCGGACUCGGUGUCUCUGCAGAGCGGACAGCUCCCCGCUCAGUCCUCCUCCGCCGUUGACAACCUAGUAAAAACGCCACGUUUCCGCGCGGCUGUCGAUGCCACAGCCGCGGGGCGAGGAGGCCUGUAAGCUCCACCGCAGUCCGAGCUCCAAUCCGAGACGCAGCACUGCGGUUUGUCCGCUUUGGCCAUGGCGCAGCGGAGGAGGCUCAGAUGAAGGACGCCCUGCGCAUCGGCUAAAAAGCUGGAGGAACUUUCCUACUGCUGAAUUCCUCUGAACACAGAUGUGACACUCCUUCUUUAGAACAGGAAAAUUCUCGACUAGCUACAGAGACUAAACCGACCAGGCCCCACUGGAGGUCCCUAAACCUCCCUUUGGGCACCACCGGACAGAGGGGGCGGUGUAAACAUUGGUAGGAGCAGCAGAAGCCAUGGCAGACGCGGCGGAGUGCGGGGUGAGAGUGAUGUGCCGCUUCAGGCCCCUGAACGAGGCCGAAAUUACCCGAGGAGACAAAUACAUCCCCAAGUUCAAAGAGGACGACACCGUGGUCAUAACGGGCAAACCGUACGUGUUCGACCGCGUGCUGCCUCCCAACACGACGCAGGAGCAAGUGUACGACCAGUGUGCCAAGCAGAUAGUGAAAGAUGUGCUGGGCGGCUACAAUGGGACCAUCUUCGCCUACGGGCAGACGUCCUCCGGGAAGACCCACACCAUGGAGGGCAAACUGCAUGACCCGCAGCUGAUGGGAAUCAUCCCUCGCAUCGCCCGCGACAUCUUCGACCACAUCUACUCGAUGGACGAGAACCUCGAGUUCCACAUCAAGGUCUCUUAUUUUGAAAUCUACUUGGACAAGAUCCGAGACCUGCUGGAUGUGUCAAAGACGAACCUCUCCGUCCACGAAGACAAGAACAGAGUGCCCUAUGUGAAGGGCUGCACUGAGCGUUUUGUGUCCAGUCCAGAGGAGGUGAUGGACGUCAUCGAUGAGGGCAAAUCCAAUCGGCAUGUAGCAGUGACCAACAUGAACGAGCACAGCUCUCGCAGCCACAGCAUCUUCCUCAUCAACAUAAAGCAGGAAAACGUAGAGACGGAGAAGAAGCUGUCUGGGAAGCUCUACCUGGUCGACCUGGCUGGCAGCGAGAAGGUGAGCAAGACGGGAGCUGAGGGGGCGGUGCUGGACGAGGCAAAGAACAUCAACAAAUCUCUCUCAGCGCUGGGAAACGUCAUCUCAGCUCUGGCUGAGGGCACCAAAACCCACGUGCCGUACAGAGACAGUAAGAUGACUCGGAUCCUGCAGGACUCUUUGGGAGGGAACUGUCGCACCACCAUCAUCAUCUGCUGCUCACCGUCCAUCUACAACGAGGCCGAGACCAAGUCCACGCUCAUGUUUGGACAGAGAGCGAAGACCAUCAAGAACACAGUGUCUGUGAACCUGGAGCUGACGGCCGAGGAGUGGAAGAAGAAAUACGAGAAGGAGAAGGAGAAGAACAAGAACCUGAAGAGCAUCAUCCAGAGGCUGGAGGCUGAACUCAACCGCUGGAGAAACGGGGAGAACGUUCCUGAGGAGGAGCAGCAGAGCUCUAAAGAUCAGAGGAGCGGCGAGCCGUACGAUAACACUCCCAUCAUCGACAACCUGCUGCCAGCCGGAGGAGGUGUCUCCGUCUCCGGUGACGAGAGGAGGAAGUACGAGGAGGACGUAAGGAACCUGUACAAACAGCUGGAUGACAAGGAUGACGAAAUUAACCAACACAGUCAGCUGGCGGAGAAACUCAAGGAGCAGAUGAUGGAUCAAGAAGAGCUGCUGGCGUCAACACGACGCGACUAUGACAAGAUCCAGGAGGAGCUGUGCCGGCUGCAGACGGAGAACGAGCUAGCCAAGGAGGAGGUGAAGGAGGUGCUUCAGGCCCUGGAGGAGCUGGCAGUUAACUACGACCAGAAGAGCCAAGAGGUGGAGGAGCGAAACCAAGCCAACGCGCAGCUUACCGAGAAGCUGCAGCACAAGACGGCGCUGCUGUCGGUGCUUGAGAGGGAGGUGAGUCAGCUGCAGGAGCUAAACGGCCUGCAGAGAAAGCGUGCUGCCGAGGUCCUCAACCUUCUGCUGAGAGACCUCAGUGACAUCGGUGCCAUCAUCGGCACCAGCGAUGUCAAGACGGCUGCGUGCUCAGAGAUGAAGGGGAACGGCUCGGCGCUGGAGGAGGACUUUACCGUUGCUCGCCUCUACAUCAGCAAGAUGAAGUCCGAGGUCAAGUCUUUGGUCAACCGCAGCAAGCAGCUGGAGAGCGCCCAGGCCGACGCCCACCGCAAGAUUCAGGCGAACGAGAAGGAGCUGGCGUCCUGUCAGCUGCUCAUCUCCCAGCAUCAGGCCAAGAUAAAGUCUCUGACCGACUACAUGCAGAACAUGGAGCAGAAGAAAAGGCAGCUGGAGGAGAGCCAGGACGCUCUCACCGAAGAGCUCGCCAAACUGCACGCUCAAGAGAAAAUGCACGAGGAAAAGGAGAAGGAGGACAUCGGCAGAGCGGGCGGAGACGAUGACAUCAAGAAAACGCUGGAGGAGCAGCUGGAGAACCACAGGGAGGCUCAUCAGAAGCAGCUCAGCCGCCUGCGGGAUGAGAUCGAAGACAAACAGAGGAUGCUGGACGAGUUCAGAGAUCUAAAUCAGGGGCUGUUACUGGAGCAGGAGCGACUCAUGUCGGAUUACUACAAACUGCAGGCGGAGGAGCAGGAGAAGAAUGCAAAGCUGGAGAGGCUCGUGCUGCUGAAUGAACAAAGGGAGCAGGCCCGAGAGGACCUGAAGGGUCUGGAGGAGACUGUGGCCAAAGAGCUGCAAACUCUGCACAACCUGCGCAAACUCUUCGUCCAGGACCUCACUGCACGGGUUAAGAAGAGUGCAGAGCUUGACUGUGAGGAGGGACUCAGCAACAUUGCACAGAAACAGAAAAUCUCAUUCUUGGAGAACAAUUUGGAGCAGCUGACUAAGGUCCACAAACAGCUGGUCCGGGACAACGCAGACCUUCGCUGCGAACUGCCCAAGCUAGAGAAGCGUCUGCGAGCCACGGCCGAGCGAGUCAAAGCGCUGGAGAACGCCUUGAAGGAGGCCAAGGAGAACGCCAUGAGGGACCGCAAGCGCUACCAGCAGGAGGUGGACCGCAUCAAAGAGGCUGUGCGGGCCAAGAACAUGGCCAGGAGGGGAUACUCUGCACAGAUCGCAAAGCCUAUCCGGCCCGGACAUCAUCCACUGUCCUCCCCGAUCUGCAGCUCCAUCAGAGCCGGAGGUGUUGAUAUUCAUAACAACUGAACCCACAACAGCAACAUAAUCCUACGACCAUAAACAACUCAGUGCAUGCUCACCACCCCACCUGGAUCCACAAGCAACGCCCCUCCUCUUGGAGCACCAAUGGGAGGCCUUCACGACAGACUGUCAUCGCUCGGAGAAGCACCAUCCAAACAUUGUACGACCAUAAACAACUCAGUGCAUGCUCACCACCCCACCUGGAUCCACAAGCAACGCCCCUCCUCUUGGAGCACCAAUGGGAGGCCUUCACGACAGACUGUCAUCGCUCGGAGAAGCACCAUCCAAACAUUGUGUAAAUACUGAUGAGACAUAUUUAAUUUGCUGAAUGUAGAUCUCAGAGGCCUCGUUUAUAACACAUUCACUGUUAUAAGUUUAGUUUUCUGGAUCUUCUGAUGGUAGAUUGUCGUUAUUAUGCAACAGGGCAGCACGGUGGCACGGUGGUUAGCACUGUUGCCGCACAGCAAGAAGGUCCUGAGUUCAAUUCCAACAUCA